AGCACUUAAUGAAUAUCUUAGUAAAAAAUAAAAGGACGUCGUGCGACGAAACUUUGUGUGUAGGCAUUAGCUUGUGAUACACAAAUAUCCUAUUGAGGAAAACCUUUAAAUUUUUUUUAGAAUAAUGUGAAUUGAAUCAUCUUAGUAACAUUAAUAAAAAUCAAAAGAGAAUCUGUUAGUAAUGGCGAAUGAAAACAGAAAAUAGCUUAUUUAAUAAUUUUUUAGAAAUUCUUUAAAAGGUUCGAGUCCUGUAUAAAAAUAAAUUAAAAUUCGAGAAUAGUGUGGAAUUUAAUCUGCAUGAAGAUAGGAGAACCACCUUCUAAGCUAUACAAUAUUUUUUAACUAAUAGUGAACAAGUACCGUGAGGGAAAGAUAAAACGUUUCGAAAGAAACUGAAAUUUGAAAUUAUGUGUUUAUAAUUUUUUGAAGUUGUAAAACAACAAAAUGCCUUUUGCAUAAUGAGUCAGUAAGUUAAAAAUUAUAGCAAGCUUAAAAAUAAAUUUAAAGGCGAAAAAAGUUAUAUUUUUUAGACCUGAAGCCAAGUGAUCUAAUUGAGAGCAGGAUGAAAAUUUAUUAAUCUAAAUUUGAAGACCGUACUCAUACAUGUAGCAAAAUGUAGAGGUGACUUUUAAUUAGGGGCGAAAGACCAAUCAAACUUGGCGAUAGCCGGUUUUUCACGAAAUGUAUUUUAGUACUGUGUUAUUUUUUAAGGUAAACUGAAGGUAAAGUACCUACUAAAUAAGGGGGUUUUAAAUAACUUACUAAAUUUAGUUUAACUUGUAAUUUUAGUUUAAUUAUAGUAACAGACAGUCUUUAGGCGAUAAGGUUUAAAGACAAGAGGAAAACAAUCCAGACCAUAUAUUAAGAUCUUAAAAUUAUAGUUUAUUGAAAAAAGUUUUUAUUUUAUUCAAAUAAAUAGGAUAAGCUUAGAAGCAGUUUUUCAUUAGAGAAAGCGUUUUAGCUCAAUAUUUUUUUAUAGAAACUAAAAAUGAAAGGAGACUCUAAACUUUAUAUCGAUAUAAUGGAUUAAAGUUAUUUUACUUUAAUGGUAGUGAAACGUUCUGUUUAAUUUUAUUAAUGAAAAUUAAUAAUAAUUUUCGGAAGUGCUAAUGCUGACAUGAGUAGCGUAAACUAUGUAAAAAACAUAGUCACUUUAUGUCCAAGGUUUUCAAUGUAAUUUUAUAUACAUUGAGUUAGUCGGUCCUUAAAAGAAGAAUGAAAAUUGUACUUGAUAGGAAAAACUUACUAUAUGCAUUAAUUUAAAUUUUUGUGAAAGGAUUAUCGCUCUAAAAAUUUUGAUAAGGUAAAAUUUUUUAGUAGUUAUUUUUCUCGAGAAAAACUUAUAGUGUUAAAACCGUACCCAAACCAACACAGGUGGACUUUUUAUUGAAUAAAGUGUAUGAAUAAAUUACACUGAAGGAACUAGGCAAAUUUACUCCGUAUGUUAGCUAUAAGGAGAGCUGGGAUAAAUUUCAGUAACAUUAACUAGGAAGCAACGACUGGUUACCAAAACCACAGGACUCUGCAAAUUAAAAAUAAAAAGUAUAGAGUCUGACGUCUGCCCAGUGCUUAAAAGUGGUAAAUUUAAGUAAUAAUGCUUAAAUUUUAAUCUUGAGUAAACGGCGGUUCUAACUAUAAGAAUCCUUAGGUAGCGAAAUUCCUUGACGGGUAAAUUCCGUCCUGCAUGAAUGACGUCACGAUUGCUUCACUGUCUCCAGUGUAAAUUCAGCGAAAUUACAUAAUCCAUGAAAAUGUGGAUUUCCUACAGUAAGACGGAAAGACCCUAGAUCCUUUACUCUAUUUUUAUAUUGUAAAGUAUUAAGAUAAAAUAUAGAAUAAGUGGGAAUGUGUUGAACAUUAAUAUUGAAAUACCACUUUUUAUUUUAAUUUUUACUAAUUUAUUAAAUUAAAAACCGUAUAAGAAGGGGAGUUUACUUGGGACGAGUACCUCCUAAAAAGUAACGGAGGUGUACAAAGGUAAGUUUCAAAUAUUUAGUUAUAAAUAAUGAAGCGUGUAAUGGCUUAAACUUGCUUAACAAUAAGAUUGAUAAAUCAAAUUGAAACUAAAGUUUGUCAUAGUGAUCCGGUAAUUAUGAGUGGAAAUAAUAUCGCUUAACAAAUAAAAGGAACUCUAGGGAUAACAGAUUCAUCGUGGUUGAGAGUUCUUAUUGAUGCCACGGUUUGAUACCUCGAUGUCGACUCAUCUUAUCCUGAAAUUGAAGCAGAUU
rnacentral:rRNA from 1 species